GGGGAUAAGCUUCAUUGUCAAGAGGGAAACAGCCCAGAUCACCAUUUAAGGCCCCUAAAUAAUUACUAAGUGACAAAGGAGGUAAUCGUACAUGGACAACCAGGAGGUUUGCCUAGAAGCAGCCACCCUUUAAAAAUUGCGUAAUAGCUUACUGGUUAAGUGCUUUUGCGCCGAAAAUGAAUGGGACUAAGUAAUUUGCCGAAAAUGUGAGAGAAUAUCGGUAGAAGAGCGUUCUGUUUUAGUUUGAAGCAAUAGUGAGAACAGUUGUGGACUAUUCAGAAGUGAGAAUGUCGGCUUAAGUAACGAAAACAUUGGUGGAAAUCCAAUGCCCCGAAAACCUAAGGAUUCCUUCGCAAGGUUCGUCCACGAAGGGUUAGUCAGGACCUAAAAUGAGGUUUAAUAACGUAAUUGAUGGAUGACGGGUUAAUAUUCCCGUACUGCAGUUUAUAUGGUUAAGAGUGACGGAGAAGGCUAUAUCAUCCAAGUUUUGGUUUUUGGUUUAAUCUUUCAAGGUUUUGAGAAAUGCUAAAAAAAGUGUUUUGAGCUGAGAAGAGAGUACGAGAUAUACUACGGUAUUGAAAGUGAUAAAUGUCAUGCUUCCUAGAAAAACUCAUUUAAUUUCUGUAAAUUGUACCUGUACCUUAAACUGACACAGGUAGGUUGGUAGAGAAUACCAAGGGGCGCGAAAUAACUCUUUCUAAGGAACUCGGCAAAAUGACUCUGUAACUUCGGGAGAAAGAGUGCCACAUUUUUGUGGUCGCAGUUAACAGACCCAAGCGACUGUUUACCAAAAACACAGGUCUCCGCUAAGUUGUAAAACUAUGUAUGGGGGCUGACGCCUGCCCAGUGCCGGAAGGUUAAAGAAAUUGGUUAGCUCACGCGAAGCUAGUGACUGAAGCCCUGGUGAACGGCGGCCGUAACUAUAACGGUCUUAAGGUAGCGAAAUUCCUUGUCGGGUAAGUUCCGACCCGCACGAAAGGCGUAACGAUUUGGGUACUGUCUCGGAAAGAGAUUCGGUGAAAUAGAAUUGACUGUGAAGAUGCGGUCUACUUGCACUUGGACAGAAAGACCCUAUGAAGCUUUACUGUAACUUGAAAUUGGUUUCGGGCUUUUCUUGCGCAGUAUAGGUGGGAGGCUAUGAUCCUCUUUUUCGGAAGUUGGUGAGCCGCAAUGUGAGAUACCACUCUAGAAAAGUUAGAAAUCUAAUGACAUUUUUUAAUCAAGAUGUUUGACAGUUUCAGGCGGGCAGUUUUACUGGGGCGGUAGCCUCCUAAAAAGUAACGGAGGCGUACAAAGGUUUUCUCAGGCUGGACGGAAAUUAGUUGCAGAGUGUAAAGAUAUAAGAAAGCUUGACUGUGAGACCUACAAGUCGAACAGAGACUAAAGUCGGUCUUAGUGAUCCGACGGUGCUGUAUGGAAAGGCCGUCGCUCAACGGAUAAAAGUUACUCUAGGGAUAACAGGCUGAUCUCCCCCAAGAGUUCACAUCGACGGGGAGGUUUGGCACCUCGAUGUCGGCUCAUCGCAACCUGGGGCGGAAGUACGUUCCAAGGGUUGGGCUGUUCGCCCAUUAAAGCGGUACGUGAGCUGGGUUCAGAACGUCGAGAGACAGUUCGGUCCAUAUCCGGUGUGAGUGUUAGAGUAUUGAAAGGAGCUUUCCUUAGUACGAGAGGACCGGGAAGGACGCACCACUGAUGUACCAGUUUUUGUACCAACAGAAUACGCUGGGUAGUCAAGUGCGGAGUGGAUAACUGCUGAAA
rnacentral:rRNA from 1 species